UGCAUUAGGUCUCCUGCCUUGAGCAGGGGGUCGGACCCAAUGGCCUUAGAGGCCCCUUCCAGCCCUAUUGUGUUAUGAUUCUAUGUCCUUGGAACAAUGAGUUAGCAAUUUUCAGGUUGGCCUCCAUCAAAGACCACGAUAUGAAGUGAUUGUCCUCGUCUACAACAGAAGAGCAUAGCAUGGAGCGUUAUCUCUCUUCUGCUCUUAAAAUGACGUCUCCUUUGCUCCAGCCCUUCCUUUACUGAGUGAACCAGCGCCAGGGUGAGUUACUACUUCAUACUGUCUUGACAGAUGCCUCUGGGCAGCCAUGCGGGAGUUGAAGAAAGGAUGAAUGGCAGACUCAAAGGAAGGUUGACAUUCUCCAUCCAAGCCAGGCAGGCAAACAGAUGCCGAUGUCUGGAAAGUUGUCAGUGGUUAGGAACCAUGGAGUGAAACCUCACGCAUCAGGAGUCAGGAGGAGAACCUUCCAUCCAUGGAGAAAAGAUCAGAUGUUGGGAGCUGCUUGGGAAACCAUGCGUCCCUCAGUUGCCCUGGGCAGCCUCUUGGGGACUUGGCAGCGAUUCAUGCACUGAUCAAUUAAAUCCUGUCAUGACACAGAAUCAUUUGGAUGGAGGGUGCAAUAUUUAUAAUCUCUCUUCCCCCCCCUCUCUUGGAUACAGUCACAAAGUUAGAAAUGAUAAAUGCCUCACCCAAGGGAACACGUCCUACUGAUAAGCUGAGCUGAAUAUAUAAGUCAAGAGUUACAAAUCUCUUGCCUGCAGGAUUCACCAUGAGCUCCUCAGACAUCGAAGAGCCCUCCGAGUGCCUGCUGUCAGAUAAAAAGCGAGAGGCUCAAGGGAUCCUUGACUUGAAUUCUACAAGAUUCGAGGUGCGUCCGUUUAGGAGGAAAGCCAAAGCACUGAAGUGUUUCGUUAAACCACACAUCUUGAUGGGGCGACACCCCUCUCUGACUAAGGCCGGGAACUUUGCUUUCAACGCCACUCCAUUCUUUUCAUAAUUUAGGCUUUGAUAGAAAAAACUGCAAGAUGAUUACAUUCAGGAUGUGUGGUUUUUGUUUUUUUUUUACAUUUUUCAGCUUGGGGUCUUACUUACCAAUUACACUUUCAAAUUUUGGCAACUUUAACCUUUUUAAAAUAAGAAAAUCAAUUUCCUCUAGCCAAAAAAAACAAACAAAAAAAAACCCAAAAACACCCAUGACUACAAAAUUCUCAUUAAUAUGGAUUCAGUAUAAAUGGUGAAGUAGGAAUGAAAAUGGGCAAUUAUUACUGUAUAGUUUAGGUGCCUGAUUUAAAAGUCCAUGUGGUUCUCCAUUUUUCCCUAUAGUUUUGCUAACGUCAAGAAUUGGAAAACUCGGCCAUUUUCUGGACCAGUUUUGAGAACACUCCUGUAUUUGCCUACAGAUGGAGGUCCUGAUCCUCAUCAAUACGAGUUGAUUUCCCACCCACCC
rnacentral:lncRNA from 1 species